UACGUAGGGGGCAAGCGUUGUCCGGAUUUAUUGGGCGUAAAGCGCGCGCAGGCGGUCCUUUAAGUCUGAUGUGAAAUCUUGCGGCUCAACCGCAAGCGGUCAUUGGAAACUGGGGGACUUGAGUACAGAAGAGGAAAGCGGAAUUCCACGUGUAGCGGUGAAAUGCGUAGAGAUGUGGAGGAACACCAGUGGCGAAGGCGGCUUUCUGGUCUGUAACUGACGCUGAGGAGCGAAAGCCAGGGGAGCAAACGGG
rnacentral:rRNA from 1 species